rnacentral:tRNA from 1 species
CGGGCUGUAGUAUACCGGUAGUACAUGCGCUUCGGGUGCGUAAAGACUGGGUUCGAUUCCCAGCAGCCCGACAA